rnacentral:tRNA from 1 species
GGAGAGGUCGCAUAGUUGGCCUAGUGCGCGCGUCUCGAAAACGCGUAUUCCGCAAGGGAUCGUGGGUUCGAAUCCCACCCUCUCCG